GUAGCUGGGAUUAUAGGCAUGCGUCACCACGCCUAGCUAAUUUUUUUUUUUUGUAUAUAGUAAAGACGGGGUGGGUUUCACCAUGUUACUCGGGAGGCUGAGGCAGGGGAAUAGCUCGAACCUGGGAGGCAGAGAUUGCAGUGAGCUGAGAUCACGCCCACGCACACACACCAGAAACUUGUUGACAUUUUGUCAUGCCAGAAAGUGAAAAGGCUAUUCAAGACCACUGUUGUGACAAAAGCACUCGGGCCAACUUAAAGGGGCUCACAGUGGCCAAAGGUGGAAGAAUAUGAGCAAAAAGAAUAAUGAUUGCAACGGGAUGAAACAUCAACUAAAUAAAAAUCCAUAAAUUAAAUGCAUACGUUCCUAAAGUUACACACACACACAAAAACCCACUAAAACAAAAACCCGCCUUAUUGGUCAUAUGUGGAGUUUACCACAGUACCAAUUCAUUAUUCUGAAAAUUGAUAAAGGGAAAGAAUUAAGUCUGUAUCCUAUCCUUGUUGUACAAACUAUCUCAUAGUAACAAAGACUUCACGAAGGAAAAAUGUGUAUAGAAGAAUUAGCUAGACCAGGUGCAGUGGCUCACACCUGUAAUCUCAACACUGGGAGGCCAAGGCAACUGGAUCCCUUGGGCCCAGGAGUUUGAAACCAGCCUGGGCAACAUAGUGAUAACCCAUCUCUAUGAAGGAAAAAAUAAAUGAAUAAUUAGCGAAUAAAUGCAGAAGGGGGCCGGGCGCAGUGGCUCAUGCCUGUAAUCCCACCACUUUGGGAGGUGAAGGCAGGUGAAUUGCUUGAGUCCAGGAGUUUUGAGACCAGCCUGAGCAACAUAGUGAAACCCCGUCUUUACAAAAAAUACAAAAAUUAGCUGGGCAUGGUGGUGUGUGCCUGUAGUCCCAGCUACUCAGGAGGCUGAAGUGGAAGGAUCACAUGAGCCUGGAAGGUGGAGGUUGCAGUGAGCCAAGAUCAUGCCAUUGCACUCCAGCCUGGGUGACAGAUCAAGGCCCUGUCUCAAAAAAUAAUAAUAAAAAUAAUAAAUGCAGAAGGAAUUAUAGAAUUAGAAAAAAAUUAUAUUUGCCAACUCCUAAUGAAAUACUGUAAUGGAUCAAAUAAUC
rnacentral:lncRNA from 1 species